rnacentral:misc_RNA from 1 species
UUCCUCAUUUCUUCCAGUUGUUUGUUAGUUUCAGAUUGCAUGUAUCCAAGAAUUCCAUCAACAGUCCACUCGGGGAUAGUUUGAACUUCUGAUGUCAAGGGAAAAAGGAUCUCAACAGCUGCACGAUUGCCUCUUGUUGCAGCAACCUGUAUUGGUUUCUGGCCAUCCUCAUCAACAACAUUAGGAUCAGCCCCAGCUUUUAAUAAACAGUUCAAGAUUUCAGAGCUCCCAUUAUCAGCAGCGAUAUGCAAUGGAGUGGCUCCACCAGCAAUAACAUUAACAUCAGCACCUGCCUGAACUAAUGAUUCUAAACAAGCUAAUGAACCAGCAGCAACAGCUGACAAUAGUGGAGUUAUAUUAUCUUCCGUUUCACUAUUAGGGUUAGCAUGGUGCUCUAACAAAAUUUUCAAAGCAUCAGGCUGAGCAUGUCCGGCAGCCCAGAUUAGAGGAGUGCCAGCAUCACUUUCAGAAUCAACCUCAACACCCUUGGAAAGUAAAUACCUCAGCAACUCAAUAUUUCCUAUCCCUGCAGAAUGAUGCAAAGCUGUGUUGGCAUGGAAGGAUUGGCACCAUGCUCAAUAAGGUAUUUAGCAGUAGCAGUAUGUCCUUGCCGAGCAGCAUGAAGAAGAGGAGUCUCAGCAUCUUCAUCCUUCGUAUCCACAUCAAGCUUCAAGUCCUCAACUAAGAAC